rnacentral:misc_RNA from 1 species
UCCAGCUUGUCACUGGCAGUCUCCCUAGAGUGCUCGGCAUAAUCCGCUAGCAACUAAGGAUAGGGGUUGCGCUCGUUACGGGACUUAACCCAACAUCUCACGACACGAGCUGACGACAGCCAUGCAGCACCUGUCUCCCGGUUCCCGAAGGCACACCCGUAUUUCUACAGGCUUCCGAGGAUGUCAAGUCCAGGUAAGGUUUUUCGCGUUGCAUCGAAUUAAACCACAUGCUCCACCGCUUGUGCGGGCCCCCGUCAAUUUCUUUGAGUUUUAAUCUUGCGACCGUACUCCCCAGGCGGAGAACUUAACGCGUUAGCUUCGAUACUGAUGAGAUUAAAUCCCACACAACAUCCAGUUCUCAUCGUUUACGGCGUGGACUAC